UACGGGGGGGGCAAGCGUUGUUCGGAAUUACUGGGCGUAAAGGGCUCGUAGGCGGCCAACUAAGUCCGACGUGAAAUCCCCAGGCUUAACCUGGGAACUGCAUUCGAGACUGCAUUGCUAGAGUAUGGGAGAGGGAAGUGGAAUUUCCGGUGUAGCGGUGAAAUGCGUAGAUAUCGGAAGGAACAUCAGUGGCGAAAGCGACUUCCUGGACCAAUACUGACGCUCAUGUGCGAAAGCGUGGGGAGCAAACAGG
rnacentral:rRNA from 1 species